CCUACGGGGGGCAGCAGUGGGGAAUAUUGCACAAUGGGCGCAAGCCUGAUGCAGCCAUGCCGCGUGUGUGAAGAAGGCCUUCGGGUUGUAAAGCACUUUCAGCGGGGAGGAAGGCGGUGAGGUUAAUAACCUCAUCGAUUGACGUUACCCGCAGAAGAAGCACCGGCUAACUCCGUGCCAGCAGCCGCGGUAAUACGGAGGGUGCAAGCGUUAAUCGGAAUUACUGGGCGUAAAGCGCACGCUGGCGGUCUGUCAAGUCGGAUGUGAAAUCCCCGGGCUCAACCUGGGAACUGCAUUCGAAACUGGCAGGCUAGAGUCUUGUAGAGGGGGGUAGAAUUCCAGGUGUAGCGGUGAAAUGCGUAGAGAUCUGGAGGAAUACCGGUGGCGAAGGCGGCCCCCUGGACAAAGACUGACGCUCAGGUGCGAAAGCGUGGGGAGCAAACAGGAUUAGAUACCCGUGUAGUC
rnacentral:rRNA from 1 species